rnacentral:tRNA from 3 species
GCGCGCUUAGCUCAGUUGGUAGAGCAACUGACUUUUAAUCAGUAGGUCACAGGUUCGACCCCUGUAGCGCGUACCA